rnacentral:rRNA from 1 species
UACGAAGGGGGCUAGCGUUGCUCGGAAUCACUGGGCGUAAAGGGCGCGUAGGCGGCGUUUUAAGUCGGGGGUGAAAGCCUGGGGCUCAACCACAGAAUGGCCUUCGAUACUGGGAAGCUUGAGUAUGGUAGAGGUUGGUGGAACUGCGAGUGUAGAGGUGAAAUUCGUAGAUAUUCGGAAGAACACCGGUGGCGAAGGCGGCCAACUGGACCAUUACUGACGCUGAGGCGCGAAAGCGUGGGGAGCAAACAGG